rnacentral:rRNA from 1 species
AAAGGCAUUAAUAAAUCCAUGUCAAUUAUAUACUUAUAAAAAGGAGAAUUUGAAUAUAAGUAAGUAAUCUAAAUAUGACUUAAUAAAGCUGAAACUGUGAUAGCCUUGAGGGAAACUGGGAUUAGAUACCCCAUUAUUCUUGGUUGUAAACUAAUAAUAUUUACCAGAGUACUAUGAAUCAAAAAAUUUGAAACUCAAAGGGCUUGGCGGUGUUUUAGACCCCUCAGGGGAACCUGUCUCAUAAUCGACAAUCCACGUCAGACCUGACCUCCUUUUGCAUCUCAGUUUGUAUACCGUCGUCGUCAGGUAACUUCCAAAAAACUAGAAGUUAGCGAUUAGAAUAGUAAUUUAAAUUUAAACGUCAGAUCAAGGUGCAGCCAAUAGAGAGGUGAGGAUGGGUUACAAUUAUCUAAAUUAUAAUUACGAAUAUUAAAAUGAAAUUUUUAAGUGAAGGAGGACUUGAAAGUAAAAUAGGAUAUAAGAAUUGUUUGAAUACGGCUCUGAAACGUGUACAAACCGCCCGUCGCUCUCGUUGAAAAAUGAGAUAAGUCGUAACAUAGCAGGGGUAAUGGAAAUUGCCCCUAGAUG